AACGUGAAGGAUAACGUUGCGUCAGCAACGGCCCGAAGGGCGAGGCAAAGCCGAGUCAUCCUGCACGACCUAUCA
rnacentral:sRNA from 1 species